rnacentral:rRNA from 1 species
UACGUAGGUGGCAAGCGUUGUCCGGAUUUACUGGGCGUAAAGAGCGCGCAGGCGGUCGUUCAAGUCGCGUGUGAAAGCCCCCGGCUCAACUGGGGAGGGUCACGCGAUACUGAUCGACUCGAAGGCAGGAGAGGGAAGUGGAAUUCCUGGUGUAGCGGUGAAAUGCGCAGAUAUCAGGAGGAACACCGAUGGCGAAGGCAGCUCGCUGGGACGGUACUGACGCUGAGGCGCGAAAGCGUGGGGAGCAAACAGG